rnacentral:rRNA from 1 species
GCGUUGCUCGGAAUGACUGGGCGUAAAGGGCGCGUAGGCGGAUGGCACAGUCGGGCGUGAAAUUCCUGGGCUUAACCUGGGGGCUGCGUUCGAGACGUGGUGUCUAGAGUGGGGAAGAGGGUCGUGGAAUUCCCAGUGUAGAGGUGAAAUUCGUAGAUAUUGGGAAGAACACCGGUGGCGAAGGCGGCGACCUGGUCCUUGACUGACGCUGAGGCGCGAAAGCGUG